UAAAUCUUGGGUGCUUCCCCAUGAUCGG
rnacentral:piRNA from 1 species